CCUACGGGAGGCAGCAGUGGGGAAUAUUGGGCAAUGGGCGCAAGCCUGACCCAUCAACGCCGCGUGAAGGAAGAAGGCUCUCGGGUUGUAAACUUCUUUUAGCAGGGACGAAGAAAGUGACGGUAGCGGAUGAAUAAGCGACGGCUAACUACGUGCCAGCAGCCGCGGUAAGACGUAGGUGGCAAGCGUUAUCCGGAUUUACUGGGUGUAACGGGCGUGUAGGCGGGAAAGCAAGUCAGAGGUGAAAACCAUGGGCUCAACCUGUGGCCUGCAUUUGAAACUGUUUUUCUUGAGUACUGGAGAGGCAGACGGAAUUCCUAGUGUAGCGGUGAAAUGCGUAGAUAUUAGGAGGAACACCAGUGGCGAAGGCGGUCUGCUGGACAGCAACUGACGCUGAGGCGCGAAAGCGUGGGGAGCAAACAGGAUUAGAUACCCCAGUAGUC
rnacentral:rRNA from 1 species